GACGAACGCUGGCGGCGUGCUUAACACAUGCAAGUCGAACGAAGUGGCGAACGGGUGAGUACUACGUGAGUAACCUGCCCUCCUUUUUGGGAUAAGCCUUGGAAACGGGGUCUAAUACCGAAUAAAGGGGGAUGGGCUCGCGGCCUAUCAGCUUGUUGGUGGGGUGAUGGCCUACCAAGGCGGUGACGGGUAGCCGGCCUGAGAGGGUGACCUGCGACAUUGGGACAGAGAUACGGCCCAGAGUGCGACGGGAGGGAGCAGUGGGGGAGAUUGAGCAAUGGGCGGAAGCAUGAUGCAGCGGCGCCGCGUGGGGGAUGAAGGCUGUCGGGUUGUAAACCUCUUGCGCGAUAGAACGGGUAGGUGGAGAAGAAGCGCCGGCUAACUACGUGCCAGCCGCCGCGGUAAUUC
rnacentral:rRNA from 1 species